UCAAAAUCGAGUCAACCAAAAUGGAUAUUAUUCCUCAAGAGAAUUAGUUAUGAUCCCCGGAGAUCCUGCGGAGAUCUCAACGAUUCCUAGUGUGAAAAAGUAUAGAGAAUGUGAAACCGUUGGCAUCGCCUGCUCGUUUUUGCUCCAUUGGUCAAAAAUAAGCAUUCUUUGAAGCAGUGUUUUGUC
rnacentral:misc_RNA from 1 species